rnacentral:rRNA from 1 species
AGGGCACCACCAGGAGUGGAGCCUGCGGCUUAAUUUGACUCAACACGGGAAAACUCACCCGGCCCGGACACUGGAAGGAUUGACAGAUUGAGAGCUCUUUCUUGAUUCAGUGGGUGGUGGUGCAUGGCCGUUCUUAGUUGGUGGAGUGAUUUGUCUGGUUAAUUCCGAUAACGAACGAGACUCUAGCCUAUUAAAUAGAUCGUUGGCUUACAAACGCCGGCGAGACUUCUUAGAGGGACAGGCGGCGAUUCAGCCGCACGAAACAGAGCAAUAACAGGUCUGUGAUGCCCUUAGAUGUCCGGGGCCGCACGCGCGCUACACUGAAGUGAUCAGCGUGCAUUUUGAAACCUACUCUGUCAAGAGUGGGGAACCCAAUGAACCUUCUUCGUGAUUGGGAUAGGGGAUUGUAAUUAUUCCCCUUGAACGAGGAAUUCCCAGUAAGCGCAAAUCAUAAGUUUGCGCUGAUUACGUCCCUGCCCUUUGUACACACCGCCCGUCGCUACUACCGAUUGAAUGUUU